AUCACACAGAGGAGUUUCACUGCCCUAAACCUCCUCUGCACAUUUUUGCCUUUUCCACAUGUGAUAUAGUUGGAAUCCUAUGGUGUUUACCCCUUUUAGGUUGUAUUCUUUCACUUGGUAAUAUACAUGGAAGUUUCCUCCAUGUCUUUUCAUGGCUUGAUAGCGGACUUUCUUUUAAUGUUGAAUAUUAUUUCCUUAUCUGGAUGCACCACCGUUUAUUCAUUCACCUACUGAAGGACGUCUUGGUUGUUUCCAAGUUUGGGUCAUUAUGAAUAAAGCCACUAUAAACAUCAGUGUGCAGGUUUUUGUGUGGACGUAAGUUUUCGAAUCACUUGGGUAAAUACCAAGGAACACAAUUGCUAGGUGAUUGCUGGGUCCUAUAAGAGUAUGUUUAGUUUUCUAAGAAAUUGCCAAAAUCUUUUCCAAAGUGGCUAUACCAUUUUGCCUUCCUACUAGCAAUGAACGAAAGUUCCUCUUGUUCCACAUCCUUGCCAGCAUUUGGUGUUGCCAUUGUGCUGGGUUGUGGCCACGCUAAUAGGGGUGGAGUGAUACCUCACUGUUGCUUUAAUUUUCAGUUCCUGAGCCAGGCAUGGCAGCUCACACCUGUAUUCCUAGCACUUUGGGAUUACAGGCAUUGACUACUUUUGAUUGAGUUAUCUGUGUUUUUCUUAUCAUUUUAAGGAACUAUUUAGAUAUUCUAAAUGUAAGAUCAUUGUUAGAUCUAUGUAUUACAAAUGUCUUCUCUCACUCUACAGAUUGGCUUUUUGCUUUCAGUGAAGUCUUUUGAUUAGCAGAGUUUCUUAAGUUUAAGGAAGUCGAAUUUCUCCCUUUCACUUUAUGGUUAGGGCUUGUUGUGGCUUGUUUGAGAAAUCUUCAUCUAGCCUCAAUCAUGAAGACAAUUUCUGUGUCUAUUAAAUGCUUUGUUGUUCCACCUUUGAGAUUUAGACCUACAAUCUCCCUGGAAUUGAUGUGAGUGUGGUGUGAGAUAGAACUUCGGAUUCACGCCAGGCACGGUGGCUCACGUCUAUAAUCCCAGCACUUUGGGAGGCCGAGGUGGGUGGAUCAUGAGGUCAACAGAUUGAGACAAUCCUGGUCAACAUGGUGAAACCCCGUCUCUACUAGAAAUGCAAAAAUUAGCUGGGCGUGGUGGCGUGCACCUGUAGUCCCAGCUACUUGGGAGGCUGAGGCAAGAGAAUUGCUUGAACCCAGGAGGCGGAGGUUGCAGUGAGCCGAGAUCACGCCAUUGCACUCCAGCCUGGGUAAUAAGAGCAAAACUCCAUCUCAAAAAAAAAGAACUUCGGAUUCACUUUUGGUUCCAUACAGAUACCCAUUUGACCCAGUAGACACAGAAGCAUAUUC
rnacentral:lncRNA from 1 species